UACGUAGGGUGCAGGCGUUAAUCGGAAUUACUGGGCGUAAAGCGUGCGCAGGCGGUUUGCUAAGACAGGUGUGAAAUCCCCGGGCUUAACCUGGGAACUGCGCUUGUAACUGGCAAGCUAGAGUGUGGCAGAGGGGGGUGGAAUUCCUGGUGUAGCGGUGAAAUGCGCAGAUAUCAGGAAGAACACCCGUGGCGAAAGCGGCUCUCUGGAACGGUACUGACGCUGAGACGCGAAAGCGUGGGGAGCGAACAGG
rnacentral:rRNA from 1 species